GCUUACGGCCACACCACUCUGGUGCGCCUGAACCCGUCUGAUCUCAGAAGCUAAGGCAGAGUCGGGCUUGGUUAGUACUUGGAUGGGAGACCUCCUGGGAAUACUAGGUGCUGUAAGCU